AUGGCUGCCAUAAUUUCUAUCCAAGCAGAGGAAAUAGAGGUGAACUAUAGAGUGAGAGCCAGUUUCCUCUCUGCUGUACAAUCUAGGAGAAAAAAACCUUUACCCAAGGACAAAUCAGAUCACGAAGAGCCCUGUGGUCCCAAUCACAGGUCAUUUUGCCUGAAUGGAGGGAUUUGUUAAGUGAUACCUACUAUUCCCAGCCCAUUUAGUAGGUAAGUGAAAUGGACUGAGGUGGGGAAGGGUAAUUUUAUUUUUUAUCGUCUACUAACUUCUUUGAGAAGUGGUAAAUAUUGAACAAAAAGUAUAAGAUGAAAAAAUAUGAGGAAUUCUCUUCAUAGUUACAUAGAACGAGAUUAUACUUUUAAAACAAAAAACAAAGUAGCAAAUCAGUUUUGCUCAAAGUGUUUGUUUUGAAAACUGGUGGUAGUUUCAAGCCUAGUCCGAUUUUUACAAUUUUUACGAUGUUCAUUUCAGUGAACUCUGUAUGAUUUUAGCAAUUUAGGGAAGACACUCUGUGUUUAAUAAUAUUACUGACAAAACAGAUAAUUCACUAGUGUAAAAAAGUCCAACACGAGACGUUUUGCUCUGGGUUUCGAAUACAUAAAUACAUGAUAGCUGUGUUGGUACCAAAGUUUACGUUUGAUAUAUUAAAAAGAAAAGCAUUAGGUUUUUCUAAGGGUGUCAUCAAGUAAAAAAAGAAGGCUGUCCCAGCUACUAUUGUUUUAAAUAAAAUGAUUCACAUUGGGAGUAUAUACGUAGCCACAUCAAUAAAAGACUUGAAAAUAGUACUUAUUUAGCUGGCUUCUUUUGAGUUUGGUUGAGUGCAAUUUAAGAGGGACAUAAUAAACCUCUAUUAAUUUAUUUAUUUAAGAUAAAAAAUUUUAUGAAAGAGAGCAAGAGCAAGCAUAAGUGGGAGUGGGAGGAGCAGAGGGAGAGGGACAAGCAGAUUCCCUGCUGAGCAGGAAGCCCGACACGGGGCUGAUUCCAGGACCCUGAGGUAUGACCUGAGCCAAAGGCAGACGUUCAACCAACUGAGCCACCCAGGUGUCCUAAUAAUCCUCUUUUAAUACAUGAAUUAGCAGCAUAUUACUAUAAUGACACCGUGGACUUUAGUGGAGCAAACACCUAAGGAUCUCAGGAUAUUGUGGCACGUGCAUGAAUUGCUCUAUUUUUAUUCUUUAACUGAAAUGAGAGGUAUAGAAUCUAGAUUUAAGAUCUUUCUAAAGUGAAAUUCAUAGGAAAAGUGAAAAAUAUUGAGGUUUAGUAUGGAAGAGAGGAGGCAGAGAAAUAAUCUCAUGAUUAUUUCAAGAUGUUCUUAGAGGUUUUCCUAUGGGAAAUAGUGACUAAGUGUUUUUCCUGUCAAGUUAAUAAAGUGGAAAAGCAGGGGAUACAAGAACAAAUCAUCCAUUGUUUUGUACCCACUAGGUGCCUCUACAUUUUUCUUUUUAAAAUCUAUUUACUAAGAUAUAAUUUAUGAAUGAUAUAUUGCAUCCUUAAAAGUGCACAAUUGAGGGAUUUUGACAGAUGUUUAUACCUGUGAAACCACCACCACCAUAACAACAUCAGAACAUUUCUAUUAUUCCACAUUUGCUGAUCAUAUUUUUAAUUUGUAUUUUCAUGUUUCAUCUCACAAAAACCUAAGAGAAGGGGAGAGAAAACCUAAGGAAAUAGAAAAAUAAGAGGAAAAUAAGAAGUGACUUGCCAAAGGCCAUACAAGUAGGAUUAAAGAGAUGUCCUUGGAGUACAACUUCCAAGUUUCACCUAAUCUUAUGGUAUAUUCAUUCUGAAUUCUUUCUAAUGGGAUAGGAUAUGUGGCAUUCAUAAAAUGAAACCAAAAUACUCAUCAGAACAAAUACAUUUCAUAAUUAAAAGAUACUGACAUUUUGUAUAUUGAUCGUAGUGAGGGCUACUUGGAUUAAAAAGACUGUCCUUUCUCCAUUGAAUUACCUUUGCACCUUUGUCAAAAAUCAAUUGAUCAUAUAUGUGUGGAUCAAUUUCUGGAUUAUUUUAUUUCAUUGAUCUAUGUUUUCAUGUUUUAUGAAUACCAGACCAUCUUGAUAACUAACUUUAUAAUAAGUGAAAUCAGGUCAUGUGAGUCUUUAGCUUUGUUUUUCAUCUCAUUGAUCUUCAGUUUUCUUUUCUAAAAGACAGUAUUUAAUGUUAAAUUUUUCCAAACAUAUUUUAGCUGCGUCUUACAAAUUUUGUAGUUCAUUUCUAGUUAAACAUUUUUUUUCCAUUGUGAUUUCUUCUUUAACCUGAGUGGGGUUGUUGUUGUUUUUGCGUUAUCCUUUAACAUUUAUAUCUAAUUUAAUUGCAUUAUGGUCAUGGUAGGUACUUGGUCUAUCCAGCUUUGCCCUUAAUAUUUUUCCAUAUACUAAAGGUGUUUUUAUACUGCACUGAAUAAACUGAAAGAAAGAAUUAAGAGUACUGAAAUUUGGAGAAUCACUGAGAUAGGAAGAAAUGUAGUGUCUUAACUCAGGCUGCUAUAUAGCAAGAAACCCAUAGGCUGGGUGGAUUGUGAACAACAGAAAUUUAUUUCUCACAAUUGUGGUGGCCAGAAAUCUGAGAUCAAGGUGCCAGCAUGAUUGGGUUUUGGUGACUGUCUGCCUCGUGGUUUGCAGAUGCAUCUGGGUAGACCUUUUUUUUUUUGAUUGGCAGGUUUGUAUUCUGGAAGAUCUGGUAGGGAACCAGGUUUUAGACUGCAGCCAUUCUGUGGGAUUAAUACCCUCUGUGCAGUGUGGGUGGUGUAGCUUGGAGUUGUUGGACACUGAAAGGAAGGUGAAGUUGGGAGACAGAAAAAGGAAGGAAUAUGACUAAGGGUUAAGUGAAGUUGAAUGGCAGAUACAUUUUUAAGUCCUAGUAUUUUAUAAAAGUAAUUGCUCUCCAAUAAUAGCUCAGACCUUCAUUACCUCCUGCUUUGUCUAGAGAAAUAAUUUCCUGGGGGGGAUCCCUGGGUGGCUCAGCGGUUUAGCGUCUACCUUCAGCCCAGGACGUGAUCCUGGAGACCUGAGAUCAAGUCCCACGUCGGGCUCCCUGCAUGAGCCUGCUUCUCCCUCUGCCUGGGUCUCUGCCUCUCUCUCUCUGUGUCUCUCAUGAAUAAAUAAAUAAAAUCUUUAAAAAAAAUAAUUUCCUAAGCAAGUUUCUUGGAGCCUAAUUCUCAUUACGACUUCGGCAAUUUGUCACCCAGUCAUUUUUGAGGCCUUCUCUUCCUCCUUGGUCUGUGUUCUAACUAGUACAUUUACUAUCUAUGUUAAAUACACUCCCAUCCCUUCUUCCCGUCUACGCAUAUUCAAAUCCUACUUACAUUUCAAAGCUAUUUCCUCCCUCACUUCAUCACAAAUCAGAAUUAAUCUCUUCCUCCUCUGAAUAGAGAAAUAUGUGGAUCCUGGGACCAUGACCCAGCCAAAGGCAGAGGCUUUGAACAGCCUAGUAUUUUAACUGAGAUACCCAGUUGCUCCGCAUGUAGGGUAUUUUAAAUGGUCCGUGUGUACUAGAGAGAAAAGUGGAUUUUUUAAUUGAGGUGAAGAUUUUAUAUAUGGACAUUAGAUCAAGCAUGUUAAAAUGUGCUGUUUAGAUCUUUUAUGCCCUCGGGGCACUUGGGUGGCUUAGUGGCUGAGCAUCUGCCUUUGGCUCAGGGUGUGAUCCUGGGGUCCUGGGAUCGAGUCCCACAUUGGGCUCCCUGCAUGGGAGCCUGCUUCCCUCUCUGCCUGUGUCUCUGCCUCUCUCUCUCUCUCUCUCAAAUAAAUAAAUAAAUAAUAAAUAAAUAAAUAAAUAAAUAAAAUCUUUUAUGCCUUCAACUAAUUUUUUAUCAUUUUUUAAAA
rnacentral:lncRNA from 1 species